rfam:Pteropus alecto contig77799, whole genome shotgun sequence.
AAGGGUUGCGCUUGUACCUUGAACAAGCCUAAUCCCAUCUGAUCUCAGAAGCUAAGCAGGGUCAGGCUUGGUUAGUACUUGGAUGUGAGACCACCUAGGAAGACCAGGUGCAACAGGCA